GACGAACGCUGGCGGUGUGCCUAAUACAUGCAAGUCGAGCGAAGCGGCGGAUGGGAGAGUAACGCGUGGGUAACAUGCCCUUAAGUCUGGGAUACCAUCUGGAAACAGAUGCUAAUACAGGAUAAUAAAGGAAGGACGAGCGAUGCAUUAGCUAGUUGGUAAGGUAACGGCUUACCAAGGCAAUGAUGCAAGACGGACGUGGUAUACUGAUCGGCCACAUUGGGACGGCGAAACGGCCCAAACUCCUACGAGCGGCAGCAGUAGGGAAUCUGCCACAAUGGACGAAAGUCUGAUGGAGCAACGCCGCGUGAGUGAAGAAGGUUUUCGGAUCGUAAAGCUCUGUUGUUGGUGAAGCGGUAAUCAACCAGAAAGUCACGGCUAACUACGUGCCAGCAGCCGCGGUAAUAC
rnacentral:rRNA from 1 species